UACGUAGGGACCAAGCGUUGUUCGGAUUUACUGGGCGUAAAGGGCGCGUAGGCGGUGCGGUAAGUCACUUGUGAAAUCUCCGAGCUUAACUCGGAACGGCCAAGUGAUACUGCAGUACUAGAGUGCGGAAGGGGCAAUCGGAAUUCUUGGUGUAGCGGUGAAAUGCGUAGAUAUCAAGAGGAACACCUGAGGUGAAGACGGGUUGCUGGGCCGACACCGACGCUGAUGCGCGAAAGCCAGGGGAGCAAACGGG
rnacentral:rRNA from 1 species